GCUUGCUGGUGUGGAUGAGUGGCGAACGGGUGAGUAAUACGUGAGUAACCUGCCCUUGACUCUGGGAUAAGCCCGGGAAACUGGGUCUAAUACUGGAUGCUACAUGUCACCGCAUGGUGGUGUGUGGAAAGGGUUUACUGGUCUUGGAUGGGCUCACGGCCUAUCAGCUUGUUGGUGAGGUAAUGGCUCACCAAGGCGACGACGGGUAGCCGGCCUGAGAGGGUGACCGGCCACACUGGGACUGAGACACGGCCCAGACUCCUACGGGAGGCAGCAGUGGGGAAUAUUGCACAAUGGGCGAAAGCCUGAUGCAGCGACGCCGCGUGAGGGAUGACGGCCUUCGGGUUGUAAACCUCUUUCAGCAGGGAAGAAGCCACAAGUGACGGUACCUGCAGAAGAAGCGCCGGCUAACUACGUGCCAGCAGCCGCGGUAAUACGUAGGGCGCAAGCGUUGUCCGGAAUUAUUGGGCGUAAAGAGCUCGUAGGCGGUUUGUCGCGUCUGCUGUGAAAGCCCGGGGCUUAACCCCGGGUGUGCAGUGGGUACGGGCAGACUAGAGUGCAGUAGGGGAGACUGGAAUUCCUGGUGUAGCGGUGGAAUGCG
rnacentral:rRNA from 1 species